AGACCUUUAAAAAGGGGACUAAGAGUCCAUGCCCAGGGAAUGGUUUCUCUCUCUUCCGCUGGACUUUAACAAGCAAGCACAUGACGGGCUUCAUCAGUCCUGGACGAGAAAGCUGAGAUGAAAAUAACUUGAGUCUUGGAUGAAAUCAGUGACCCUAUGAUAUCAUCACAUCUAGAGCUGACUCUAACUGGACUUCCAGCUAUUUCCAGGACAUAUUCAAGCAGAGUUUGGAUAACCACCUGCCAAAGAUCUGUAUUGGAUAUUCAAGAAACAAGACCUGCAAACCCCUCUUUGCUGAUUCAAGUAUGCCUGGCGAAGAUCCACAAAGUAGAAGGCAGAAGGUCAGCUCAGUACCCAAGGCACUUCCUGUGGAAAGUUACUCACUUAAUCCCAAAGGCAAGACAAGGGCAACCCUUUAAUAUUCAUUUGGAAAAAUCAAAAAGGGAGAGUAGCAUAGAUAGGGUUGCUGAUCCAGUCAAGUCAAUACCAGGCUUCUCACACCUCUCCCAGUGCCUAUCCCAGAAGAUUGAGAACAAUGCUAGGAAGGUAAUUAAAUUGGGGUAGCUAACUCUUCAAGUCUAAUGCAAAUAUUUCCUUCAUUUAGCUGUUCACUUCAUUUGGUUUAAAUAAAGAUAAACCACAUCAAGAUACAAACAUCUAAACUCUUUUCUAAAAGACUCAAAGGAAGAAUACAUUUAUAGAAAAGUUUGGAAAGAUAACCAAAAACGAAGCCAUUCAACCUUUCAAUUAUAGCAGCCCAUAGCAUUGUUACGACUUUUGCGACUGACUACAUAACAAAAGGGGCUGUGUGGUGGAAGACCCUGGAUUUAAACCUGUUUGAUUAUAUCUCUGGAUGUAAAGUCUUUGACUGGAGGGAUAAUCUUUCUCUCCUCAGUAUUUUCCAGGGUCUUAAUAAAUAUCUGCUGAAUGAACAAAUGUUUGAA
rnacentral:lncRNA from 1 species